UGCUCUAGUAACGGCGAGUGAAGCAGCAAUAGCUCAAAUUUGAAAUCUGGCGUCUUCGACGUCCGAGUUGUAAUUUGUAGAGGAUGCUUCUGAGUGGCCACCGACCUAAGUUCCUUGGAACAGGACGUCAUAGAGGGUGAGAAUCCCGUAUGCGGUCGGAAAGGCGCUCUAUACGUAGCUCCUUCGACGAGUCGAGUUGUUUGGGAAUGCAGCUCUAAAUGGGAGGUAAAUUUCUUCUAAAGCUAAAUAUUGGCCAGAGACCGAUAGCGCACAAGUAGAGUGAUCGAAAGAUGAAAAGCACUUUGGAAAGAGAGUUAAAAAGCACGUGAAAUUGUUAAAAGGGAAGGGAUUGCAACCAGACUUGCUCGCGGUGUUCCGCCGGUCUUCUGACCGGUCUACUCGCCGCGUUGCAGGCCAGCAUCGUCUGGUGCCGCUGGAUAAGACUUGAGGAAUGUAGCUCCCUCGGGAGUGUUAUAGCCUCUUGUGAUGCAGCGAGCGCCGGGCGAGGUCCGCGCUUCGGCUAGGAUGCUGGCGUAAUGGUCGUAAUCCGCCCGUCUUGAAACACGGACCAAGGAGUCUAACAUCUAUGCGAGUGUUCGGGUGUCAAACCCCUACGCGUAAUGAAAGUGAACGGAGGUGAGAACCGCAAGGUGCAUCAUCGACCGAUCCUGAUGUCUUCGGAUGGAUUUGAGUAAGAGCAUAGCUGUUGGGACCCGAAAGAUGGUGAACUAUGCCU
rnacentral:rRNA from 1 species